rnacentral:rRNA from 1 species
UACGUAGGGGGCAAGCGUUGUCCGGAUUUACUGGGCGUAAAGCGCGUGUAGGUGGGAGCGCAAGUCGGACGUGAAAGGCUGGGGCUCAACUCCAGGAGGCCGUUCGAAACUGCCCUUCUUGAGGGUCGGAGAGGAGGGUGGAAUUCCUGGUGUAGCGGUGAAAUGCGUGGAUAUCAGGAGGAACACCGGUGGCGAAGGCGGCCCUCUGGACGGAUACUGACGCUGAGACGCGAAAGCGUGGGGAGCAAAC